rnacentral:rRNA from 1 species
AUUGAACGCUGGCGGCAGGCUUAACACAUGCAAGUCGAGCGAGCGGCGGACGGGUGAGUAAUGUCUGGGAAACUGCCUGAUGGAGGGGGAUCACUACUGGAAACGGUAGCUAAUACCGCAUACCAUCAGAUGUGCCCAGAUGGGAUUAGCUAGUAGGUGGGGUCAUGGCUCACCUAGGCGACGAUCCAUAGCUGGUAGGAGAGGAGGACGUGCCGCACUGGCACGGAGACACGGUCCAGACUCCUACGGGAGGCAGCAGUGGGGAAUAUGGCACAAUGGGAGCAAGCCUGAUGCAGCCAUGCCGCGUGUGUGAAGAAGGCCUUCGGGUUGUAAAGCACGUUCAGCGAGGAGGCGUUACUCGCAGAAGAAGCACCGGCUAACUCCGGGCCAGCAGCCGCGGUAAUAC